rnacentral:rRNA from 1 species
GUGGGGAAUCUUCCGCAAUGGACGAAAGUCUGACGGAGCAACGCCGCGUGAACGAUGACGGCCUUCGGGUUGUAAAGUUCUGUUAUACGGGACGAAUGGUACGACGGCCAAUACCCGUCGUAAGUGACGGUACCGUAAGAGAAAGCCACGGCUAACUACGUGCCAGCAGCCGCGGUAAUACGUAGGUGGCAAGCGUUGUCCGGAAUUAUUGGGCGUAAAGGGCGCGCAGGCGGCGUCGUAAGUCGGUCUUAAAAGUGCGGGGCUUAACCCCGUGAGGGGACCGAAACUGCGAUGCUAGAGUAUCGGAGAGGAAAGCGGAAUUCCUAGUGUAGCGGUGAAAUGCGUAGAUAUUAGGAGGAACACCAGUGGCGAAGGCGACUUGCUGGCCAGCAACUGACGCUGAGGCGCGAAAGCCAGGGGAGCAAACGGGAUUAGAAACCCCGGUAGUCC